rnacentral:ncRNA from 1 species
GGGAGCCGUAUUCGGGAGAUCCGAACGUACGGUUCGAUGAGGGGGAUGGAGGGAGAACGGUCAUUGGCUUCAUGCCUCUCAAUCCGUGCCCUCCGCCCUACUCCAC